rnacentral:rRNA from 1 species
AACGAACGCUGGCGGCAUGCCUAACACAUGCAAGUCGAACGAGACCUUCGGGUCUAGUGACGCACGGGUGCGUAACGCGUGGGAACCUGCCCUUAGGUUCGGAAUAACUCCCCGAAAGGGGUGCUAAUACCGGAUAAUGUCUUCGGACCAAAGAUUUAUCGCCUUUGGAUGGGCCCGCGUUGGAUUAGCUAGUUGGUAGGGUAAAAGCCUACCAAGGCGACGAUCCAUAGCUGGUCUGAGAGGAUGAUCAGCCACACUGGGACUGAGACACGGCCCAGACUCCUACGGGAGGCAGCAGUGGGGAAUAUUGGACAAUGGGCGAAAGCCUGAUCCAGCAAUGCCGCGUGAGUGAUGAAGGCCUUAGGGUUGUAAAGCUCCUUUACCCGGGAUGAUAAUGACAGUACCGGGAGAAUAAGCGCCGGCUAACUCCGUG